GAUGAACGCUGGCGGCGUGCCUAAUACAUGCAAGUCGAGCGAACGGACGAGAAGCUUGCUUCUCUGAUGUUAGCGGCGGACGGGUGAGUAACACGUGGAUAACCUACCUAUAAGACUGGGAUAACUUCGGGAAACCGGAGCUAAUACCGGAUAAUAUUUUGAAUCGCAUGGUUCAAAAGUGAAAGACGGUCUUGCUGUCACUUAUAGAUGGAUCCGCGCUGCAUUAGCUAGUUGGUAAGGUAACGGCUUACCAAGGCAACGAUGCAUAGCCGACCUGAGAGGGUGAUCGGCCACACUGGAACUGAGACACGGUCCAGACUCCUACGGGAGGCAGCAGUAGGGAAUCUUCCGCAAUGGGCGAAAGCCUGACGGAGCAACGCCGCGUGAGUGAUGAAGGUCUUCGGAUCGUAAAACUCUGUUGUUAGGGAAGAACAUAUGUGUAAGUAACUGUGCACAGCUUGACGGUACCUAAUCAGAAAGCCACGGCUAACUACGUG
rnacentral:rRNA from 1 species